rnacentral:pre_miRNA from 1 species
AGGAGGAACAACCCCAGUGGCGGGGCCAGCUCUGGAGCCCUGGAGUCAGCUCCCACAGUAACUCCGGAGCUCUCUGUCUGCAGGGCCUGGAGGCUCCGGGGCGGG